rnacentral:miRNA from 1 species
CAGCAGAAAUUUAUUUUCUCACAGUUCUUGAGGCUGGAAGUCCAAGAUCAAGGUGUUGGCAGGUUUGGUUUCUCCCAAGGCCUCUCUUCUUGGUUUGCAGAUGGCAUCUUCUCACUGUGUGCUCACACGGCC